GACGAACGCUGGCGGCGUGCCUAAUACAUGCAAGUCGAACGCAGUGGGGACGGGUGAGUAACACGUGGGUAACCUCCCAUCAGAGGGGAUAACACUUGGAAACAGGUGCUAAAACGCUAUUGAUGGAUGGACCCGCGGUGCAUUAGCUAGGUGGUGAGGUAACGGCUCACCAAGGCCACGAUGCAUAGCCGGGCUUAGAGGGUGACAGGUCACACUGGGACUGACACAGGGCCCAGCCACCUACGGAAGGCAGCAGUAGGGAAUCAUCGGCAAUGGACGAAAGUCUGACCGAGCAAGGCCGCGUGAGUGAAGAAGGUUUGCGGAACGGAAAACUCUGUUGUUAGGGAAGCGGUAUCUAACCAGAAAGCCACGGCUAACUACGUGCCAGCAGCCGCGGUAAUAC
rnacentral:rRNA from 1 species